rnacentral:rRNA from 1 species
CCUACGGGAGGCAGCAGUGAGGAAUAUUGGUCAAUGGGCGCAAGCCUGCACCAGCCAAGUCGCGUGAGGGAUGACGGUCCUAUGGAUUGUAAACCUCUUUUGUCGGGGAGCAAGGCCCGCCACGUGUGGCGGGAAGGAGAGUACCCGAAGAAAAAGCAUCGGCUAACUCCGUGCCAGCAGCCGCGGUAAUACGGAGGAUGCGAGCGUUAUCCGGAUUUAUUGGGUUUAAAGGGUGCGUAGGCGGAAGGUUAAGUCAGCGGUAAAAUGUCGGUGCUCAACACCGGCAUGCCGUUGAAACUGGUCUUCUUGAGUGAGCGAGAAGUAUGCGGAAUGCGUGGUGUAGCGGUGAAAUGCAUAGAUAUCACGCAGAACUCCGAUUGCGAAGGCAGCAUACCGGCGCUCAACUGACGCUGAGGCACGAAAGCGUGGGGAUCGAACAGGAUUAGAUACCCUAGUAGUC